GGGUGUGAUCGUUUUUAACCGUAGCCACUUCGGCGCAUGCGUAUAUUCACCUGCUGGGCGCGACGAUUGGGACGUGCAUCAGGUGUUGCUCCUGAAAAACCAUGAGGGCGAAGUGGAGAAAGAAAAGAAUGCGGAGGCUAAAGCGCAAGCGAAGGAAGAUGAGAGCAAGGUCAAAGUGAAAUGUCAUUAAUUGCUGCAAGACUGCAGUGAUUGGCAGCUGAUUUAAAGUUCCACUUCAUCAAUGGUUAAUGACAGAUUUUCAAACUUGUGUUCUUCAGAAACUUUUUAUAUUGAUUACUUGACUUUUAUGAAUUGUUUUUGUUUAACAAAUUAAAGUUUAGGCAAUCUAAUGUGCUGUGUAAGAAAUGGC